CAACAUAUUUUUUGCAAUACGAAAAUUGGAACGAUACAUAGAAGAUUAGCAUGGCCCCUAAUCAAGGAUGACACGCAAAUUCAUGAAGUGUUCCAUAUUUUU